GCCAUGUUUCGCCCGAGAAGGCACGGUAUGGGCUGGAUCCAAAGCCCAUGGACAGCAGGAACCAAGCUGGCUCCGCAAAACGUUCCAUCCCCUGAUAUCACUUGAAUGUGACCGACAAAGGAAUCGCAAGUUUCAUAGAUGCAACUCAUGCUCAAGGCUGCUCAUGGGUGAGACGGCGCCAGAGGAGGACUGCCUGGUCAGAACUAUGGCUUGGAUCCAGGAAGUAGCUGAGCACCUCCAGACUCCAUUGACUUCCACAGAUCUCCUCGCAUGGGUUACUGCUCAUCUCUUUGAGCAAGGAAUUCACAACCUGGCCUGUAGCUUAGCGUGCUGAUGUAGAGGAGACCGAAUUACGUUAAAAGAACUCUGUCAGCACCGAGGCUGGACUUCUAUGGGUUACCAGCCUUCCAGGAUAGUCCUGAAGUCUCCAGGAAUUAAAGAUCCAUCGUAAUGAAAGAUUCCGGC